ensembl:lncRNA
UUUUUGAGACUGAGUCUCACUCUUUCUCCCAUGUUGGAGUGAAGUGACUUGAUCUCGGCUCACUGUAACCUCCGCCCCCCGGAUUCAAGUGAUUCUCCUGCCUUAGGACCUCCCGAGUAGCUGGGAUUACAGGCGCCUGCCACCGUGCCUGGCUAAUUUUUGUAUUUUUAGUAGAGACAGGGUUUUGCCAUGUUGGCCAGGCUGGUCUCGAACUCCUGACCUCAGAUGAUCCAUCCGCCUCGGCCUCCCAAAGUGUUAAGAUUACAGGCAUGAGCCACUGUGCCCAGCCGGUAUUCUCGUCUUUAAAAUGGCUAUGAUUAUGUGACGUUAUUACGCAGUUGUUGCAAAGAUGAAAUGAAAUAUGUGAGUGAGAGCCAGUGGUACCUUGGUAAAUGUGGGGUUUUUUUUUCUUCCGUUCCCCCUUUCCUCCCCCCAUCCCGCUCUUUCUUCUUUCCUUCCUUUCUGGCCGACACCUCUGAUUACAAUGUCAGAGAACCAGGAGCUGUAGGACACAGAAGAUAGGGCAACAACCUCCUCUAGGGGACUCAGCGAUGGAAAAAGCUUCUCAGACUGUUGCAACAGGUGACAGUCAUCUUCUGCUCUGCCCAGAAUCUCCUGGCCUCUCCCCUGCUGGAUAACUGGCCCCAUGCCACCCCCAUCAGGGUAUCAGGCCCCUGGACUGAGAUAGAAAGUGGAUCCCAGGAAGCAUCUCUCUCACCCAGAGUCACACUGCUGAUGGGGCUGAGUAUGGGACAAGAACUUUUGUGACUGCCAGAGUCAGCUAGGAGGGGGAGGCCUGGGAUUCCAGGUAGAACAUUUUUUUUUUUUUUUUAGAGAAGGGUUCUCUGGCCGGGUGCGGUGGCUCAAGCCUGUAAUCCCAGCACUUUGGGAGGCCGAGACGGGCAGAUCAUGAGGUCAGGAGAUCGAGACCAUCCUGGCUAACACGGUGAAACCCCAUCUCUACUAAAAAAAAAAAAAAAAUACGGGUGUGGUGGCAGGCGCCUGUAGUCCCAGCUACUCAGGAGGCUGAGGCAGGAGAAUGGCUUGAACCCGGGAGGCGGAGCUUGCAGUGAGCUGAGAUCCGGCCACUGCACUCCAGCCUGAGCGACAGAGCGAGACUCCGUCUCAAAAAAAAAAGAGAAGGGUUCUCACUCUGUUGCCCAGGCUGGAGUGCAGUGGUGCCAUCAUAGCUCACUGCAGCCUCAAACUCCUGGGCUCAGGUGAUGAUCCUGUGUCAGUCUCCUGAGUAUGACUAUAUGCCUAUGCCACUAUGUCUGGCUAAGUUUUUAAUUUGUUGCAGAGACACAGAUCUUUCUAUGCUGCCCAGGCUGGUCUUGAACUCCUGGACUCAAGCAAUCCUCCCACUUCGGCCUCCCAGUGUUGAGAUUACAGGUGCGAGCCACUGCCUCUGGCCCUAGGGCAGUACUUUCCUGUCUCUUAUUUAUCAGUGCCAAGACCUACCCUGGGAAUAUUCUGUUCACUCUUCCCUUGUUGGGGGCCCCCUUCUCCAAGGUCAGCUUAGCUAACUUCAAAGAGGAGAGACAGAGCCACCUUGCCCCUAAGUUUCAGGAGUGGGAAAGAUGGGUGGGGAGGGGGAUGAGGUGGGUGA